GGCGCCAUUGCCAUUAUAAGAGAGCAAGGGAGGCGUGCAUGAACCGAAAGUGAUGCUGACACUUUUGACAAACCAGAUUUUUUCACCUGCUGAAAUUGAUGAAUACAUACGCCAUUUGGCUCAGCAAUUGGACUCCUGCCAUUGCUGGAGAUGGAGCCUAAAGCAACAGACAGGAGGCGAAGGAACAUUUUUAACAAGUUUCCAAUUGCCUCGCUUUACCCUGUCUUCAUCAAUCCCGACUGCCAGGAAGGAAACCUUGUAGUCUGAAGAGAUUCCAACACAAAUUUCCUUGGCUCGCGGACAACAGUGCCUCGAGCAAGUCAUGUUUCCAUUAUUUCAAAUGUUUAACAGGCCCCCAAAGAGAAGUGAGAUUUCUAAAAGAUGCAUAAUGCGCUGUUCCCUAUUCUGUAGGAACACAUCUCAUAAUGUUAUCUUCUUAUGGCUCUGAAAUAGGGUCCACUUUUAAGUAAUAUGUUUGGAAAAAUUG